UACGUAGGGGGCAAGCGUUGUCCGGAUUCAUUGGGCGUAAAGAGCGUGUAGGCGGCCAGGUAGGUCGGUUGUGAAAACUGGAGGCUCAACCUUCAGACGUCGACCGAAACCAUCUGGCUAGAGUCCGGGAGAGGAGAGUGGAAUUCCUGGUGUAGCGGUGAAAUGCGCAGAUAUCAGGAAGAACACGCGUGGCGAAAGCGGCUCUCUGGAACGGUACUGACGCUGAGACGCGAAAGCGUGGGGAGCGAACAGG
rnacentral:rRNA from 1 species